GACCACCCAUCCUCAUGGGUCAAGGCCAUACGGACAGCCGGGUCAACUGCCGA
rnacentral:sRNA from 1 species